CCUGACUGUACCUUAGCGUGUAGACCUGGAACUUGGGGUGUAAACUGCAGUAACACAUGCAGCAAUCAUUGUUUCAAUUCGUCUUGUGACAGUAAAAUUGGUCUGUGUGACAGAGGAUGUUUAGGAUACAGUGAUUAUCCUGACUGUACCUUAGCGUGUAGACCAGGAACUUGGGGUGUAAACUGCAGUAACACAUGCAGCAAUCAUUGUUUCAAUUCGUCUUGUGACAGUAAAACUGGUCUGUGCGACAGAGGAUGUUUAGGAUA
rnacentral:sRNA from 1 species